UACGUAGGGCGCAAGCGUUGUCCGGAAUUAUUGGGCGUAAAGAGCUCGUAGGCGGCUUGUCACGUCGGGUGUGAAAGACCGGGGCUUAACCCCGGUUCUGCAUUCGAUACGGGCUGGCUAGAGUGUGGUAGGGGAGAUCGGAAUUCCUGGUGUAGCGGUGAAAUGCGCAGAUAUCAGGAGGAACACCGGUGGCGAAGGCGGAUCUCUGGGCCUGUCCUGACGCUGAGGCGCGAAAGCUAGGGGAGCGAACAGG
rnacentral:rRNA from 1 species